rnacentral:rRNA from 1 species
UGAUACGGAGGGUGCAAGCGUUAAUCGGAAUUACUGGGCGUAAAGCGCGCGUAGGCGGUUUGUUAAGUCGGAUGUGAAAGCCCUGGGCUCAACCUGGGAACUGCUUCCGAUACUGGCAGGCUAGAGUACGGUAGAGGGGGGUAGAAUUCCACGUGUAGCGGUGAAAUGCGUAGAGAUGUGGAGGAAUACCAGUGGCGAAGGCGGCCCCCUGGACUGAUACUGACGCUAAGGUGCGAAAGCGUGGGGAGCAAACAGGAUUAGAUACCCUGGUAGUCCACGCUGUAAACGAUGUCAACUAGCCGUUGGAGGGGUAAUCCUUUUGGUGGCGUAGCUAACGCGCUAAGUUGACCGCCUGGGGAGUACGGUCGCAAGAUUA